AUUGAACGCUGGCGGUAUGCUUAACACAUGCAAGUCGAACGGUAGCAGGCCUUCGGGCGCUGACGAGUGGCGGACGGGUGAGUAACGCGUAGGAAUCUGCCUGGUAGUGGGGGACAACUUAGGGAAACUUAAGCUAAUACCGCAUACGCCCUACGGGGGAAAGAAGGGGAUCGCAAGACCUUUUGCUAAUAGAUGAGCCUGCGUAGGAUUAGCUAGUUGGUGGGGUAAACGCUCACCAAGGCGACGAUCCUUAACUGGUUUGAGAGAAUGAUCAGUCACACUGGAACUGAGACACGGUCCAGACUCCUACGGGAGGCAGCAGUGGGGAAUAUUGGACAAUGGGCGAAAGCCUGAUCCAGCAAUACCGCGUGUGUGAAGAAGGCCUUAGGGUUGUAAAGCACUUUCAAUUGGAAGGAAAACCUCGAAGCUAAUACCUUCGAGUUUGACAUUACCUUUAGAAGAAGCACCGGCUAACUCCGUGCCAGCCGCCGCAGUAAGAC
rnacentral:rRNA from 1 species